UGGCGGUAAAUUAUAUGCUUAGAGGAACCUGUUCUGUAAUUGAUAACCCACAGAGACUUUACCUUAGUUAAUAUAUUUAUAUAUCGUUGUCAUAAAGUUGAUGAAAAAUUUAAUUUAGAUUACUUAAGAAGGAAAAGAUCAAAUAAAGGUGUAGUUAAUAUUAAGGGAGAAAUGGGUUACUUAUAUUAAUAUUAUGGAUUAUAAUUAAAUUUAAAUGAAAUAGGAUUUAUAAGUAAACUUGCUUAUUAUCAAUGUAUGAAAAUUACCAAAUUUA
rnacentral:rRNA from 1 species